rnacentral:rRNA from 1 species
AACGAACGCUGGCGGCAUGCCUAACACAUGCAAGUCGAACGAGACCUUCGGGUCUAGUGGCGCACGGGUGCGUAACGCGUGGGAACCUGCCCUUAGGUUCGGAAUAACUCCCCGAAAGGGGUGCUAAUACCGGAUAAUGUCUUCGGACCAAAGAUUUAUCGCCUUUGGAUGGGCCCGCGUUGGAUUAGCUAGUUGGUAGGGUAAAAGCCUACCAAGGCGACGAUCCAUAGCUGGUCUGAGAGGAUGAUAAGCCACACUGGGACUGAGACACGGCCCAGACUCCUACGGGAGGCAGCAGUGGGGAAGAUUGGACAAGGGGCGGAAGCCUGAUCCAGCAAUGCUGCGUGAGUGAUGAAGGCCUUAGGGUUGGAAAGCUCUUUUACCCGGGAUGAUAAUGACAGUACCGGGCGAAUAAGCUCCGGCUAACUCCGUG